GCCCACCAGGCUCCUCCGUCCAUGGGAUUUUCCAGGCAAGAGUACUGCUUAUGUUUCGGAAAUGAUGUUGAACAAAAAGCAAAUUUGAGUGAUUUUCUUAUUCAAGUUCAAAAUGAGUCAUAAAGCAGCGCAGACAACUCUCAACAUCAACAACGAAUUUGGCCCAGGAACUGCUAAUGAACAUACAGUGCAGUGGUGGUUCCAGAAGUUUUGCAAAGGAGACAAGUGACUUGAAGAUAAGCAACAUAGUGGCCAGCCAUCAGAAGUUGAUGACGACCAAUUGAGAGCAAUCAUGGAAGCUGAUCCUCUUACAGCUACACGAGAAGUUGCCAAAGAACUCAACAUAGACCAUCCUUGGUCAUUCAGCAUGUAAAGUAAAUUGGAAAUGUGAAAAAGCGCAAUAAGUGGGUGUCUCAUGAACUGACCAAAAAAAAAAAAGUCUGAAAUGUUGUCUCUUUUUCUAUGCAACAACAAUGAAUCAUUUCUCUAUUGGAUUGUGAUGUGUGACAAAAAGUGGAUUUUAUAGGUCAACUGCUGAUGACCAGCUCAGUGGUUGGACCAAAAAGAAGCUCCAAAGCACUUCCCAAAUCCAAAUAUGCACAAUAAAAGGGUCAUAGUCACUCUUUGGUGGUCUGCUGCUGGUCUGAUCCACUACAGCUCUCUGAAUCCCGGUGAAACCAUUACACCUGAGAAGUAUACUCAGCAAAUCAGUGAGAUGCACUGAAAACGGCAACGCCUGCAGUUGCGUUGGUCAACUGAAAGGGCGCAGUUCUUCUCCACUACAACGCCCAACGGCGUGUUGCACAACCGCUUCAAAAGUUGAAUGAAUAGGGCUAUGAAGUCUUGCUUAAUCUGCCUUAUUCACCUGACCUCUCGCCAACUGACUACCACUUCAACAUCUUAACACCUUUUUGCAGGGAAAAUGCUUCCACAAUGAGCAGGAGGCAGAGCAUUCUUUCCAAGAGUUCGUUGAAUCCUGAAGUAUGAAUUUUUAUGCUACAGGAAUAAGCAAACUUAUUUUUCUUUGGCAAAAAUAUGUUGAUUAUAAUGGUUCCUAUUUUGAUUAAUAAAGAUGUGUUUGAGCCUA